CCCUUCUCAGGAUUGCACCUGGAGAGUUUCCAGUGCUCUACCAGUCUUGGCUGUGGGAGGGAGAGUCAAGCAGAGGCCUACCCAUUCCAUUCCUAGCUUGGCCAGUGGCUAGGGAGUGGAAGUUGAUCUGCUACAAGU